rnacentral:rRNA from 1 species
UACGAAGGGGCUAGCGUUACUCGGAUUGACUGGGCGUAAAGGGCGCGUAGGCGGCUUGUACAGUCAGACGUGAAAUUCCUGGCUCAACCUGGGGCUGCGUUUGAUACGUGCGGGCUUGAGUUCGGAAGAGGGUCGUGGAAUUCCCAGUGUAGAGGUGAAAUGCGCAGAUAUCAGGAGGAACACCGAUGGCGAAGGCAGCUCGCUGGGACGGUACUGACGCUGAGGCGCGAAAGCGUGGGGAGCAAACAGG